AAACCUGCACAUAAGGGCCUCGAACCUAAACGACCAAAGCCCUGUCGUUUAGGUUCGAGGCCGCUUAUGCUCCAGUUUCUAA
rnacentral:sRNA from 1 species